GACGAACGCUGGCGGCGUGCCUAAUACAUGCAAGUUGAGCGCUGAAGGUUGGUACUUGUACCCACUGGAUGAGCAGCGAACGGGUGAGUAACGCGUGGGGAAUCUGCCUUUGAGCGGGGGACAACAUUUGGAAACGAAUGCUAAUACCGCAUAAAAACUUUAAACACAAGUUUUAAGUUUGAAAGAUGCAAUUGCAUCACUCAAAGAUGAUCCCGCGUUGUAUUAGCUAGUUGGUGAGGUAAAGGCUCACCAAGGCGAUGAUACAUAGCCGACCUGAGAGGGUGAUCGGCCACAUUGGGACUGAGACCCGGCCCAAACUCCUACGGGAGGCAGCAGUAGGGAAUCUUCGGCAAUGGACGAAAGUCUGACCGAGCAACGCCGCGUGAGUGAAGAAGGUUUUCGGAUCGUAAAACUCUGUUGGUAGAGAAGAACGUUGGUGAGAGUGGAAAGCUCAUCAAGUGACGGUAACUACCCAGAAAGGGACGGCUAACUACGUG
rnacentral:rRNA from 1 species